rnacentral:rRNA from 1 species
UACGUAGGGUGCGAGCGUUGUCCGGAAUUAUUGGGCGUAAAGGGCUCGUAGGCGGUCUGUCGCGUCGGGAGUGAAAACUCAGGGCUUAACCCUGAGCCUGCUUCCGAUACGGGCAGACUAGAGGUAUGCAGGGGAGAACGGAAUUCCUGGUGUAGCGGUGAAAUGCGCAGAUAUCAGGAGGAACACCGAUGGCGAAGGCAGGUCUCUGGGCAUUAACUGACGCUGAGGAGCGAAAGCGUGGGGAGCGAACAGG